AUAAAGGAACCGGGCAUCGGCUGCCUCCCACACACACAGCUCACAAGCAAACAAUCCGAGGCAGGCUAGGGUUUCUGCCGUCUCGGCUCAAGAAAAAUCCUCUCCCUCGCUUCUCCGUUCCUUUUCCCGCACGUGAUGGCUGGUAGAGGUCGUGUACCUCGCAAUAUUAUUGAUGGGCGGAGAGGUUAUGCUGAAAUGCCGGAAGGGCCAUUUGUUCGUGGUCCUCUCCCUCGUCCACCCCAUCCUGCCCUGUAUGAGGAACUUGAAAUGCAGCGGAAUGAAAUCCGGAGGCUUUUGGCAAACCAUCGUGCUUUGGUUGAAGAACGUGCUGCUAUGCAGCAGGAGCUAAUGGCUGCAAAGGAAGAGAUUCAUCGCAUGAAUAUGGUCAUGGCAGAUAUCCGUGCUGAUAAAGAGGCUCAUUGCAGAGAGCUGAUUGAGAAAGGCUUGAAGCUAGAGGCUGAUCUUAGAGCGACUGAGCCUUUAAGAAAUGAAGUAGUGCAGCUUCGAGCUGAAAUUCAAAAACUGAAUGUCUUGAGACAGGACCUUGUUGGUCAGGUCCAGACUCUCCAGCAAGACUUGACAAGGGCAAAAACUGAUAACAAAGAGAUCCCUAUUUUGAAGAGUGAGAUUGAUGGUCUGAGACAGGAACUAAUGCGAGCUAGGAGUGCUUUUGAGUAUGAGAAAAAAGGAAAUAUUGAUCUAAUGGAACAACGGCAAAUAAUGGAGAAAAAUUUGGUGUCCAUGGCACGCGAGAUUGAAAAGCUGAGGGCUGACUUGGCAAGCAUUGAUGGGAGGCCAUGGGGUGCAGGUGGAGCCUAUGGGAUGAAAGUUGGUAGUCCUGAAGGACCUUUCGCUUCAUCGUUUGGGGAUAACUACAACCGUCAUUUGGGAGUUGCUGACAAGGCCCCUAUGUAUGGUGGGAGUUCUGGUCCGCGGGGAGCAUUUGACAAGUCUCGCCCUGGACGUCGUUGAGACUGACAGUUGAACUGUCCUCCAAGACGCUUAUGGGUGCUCUUUAGUUUACUCAUGGUGGUUAUAUGCUCAAGGCCCUCGGUACGAAUUGAGGGAUCCUUCUUUCCUUGAGAGAGUAGAAAUUAGAUCUAACUUGAAAAUCUGGGAGAAUUAGGAAGCAAAACAAAUGCAGUGGUAUCCUGGAAAAGAAGUUUUCAUAGAUCCUUGAUGGGUGUGUUAAUGCCUUCCAUGAUGCCCUCGCAGGGAGAUAAAAAAUUGGAAUGGUAUGUUCAUAUACAGGAGAUGGAAAAUCUAGAUACUUCAUAUAGAGGAUGAAUCAACACUGCCUGAAGGUUGAUUCGCAGUACUCCAAGAUCUUGGAGUUGUGCAAUCUACGCUUGGCGGACAAGGUAGAAAAAAGGUUUUGGGAUCGUGGGAUCUACAAGCUCUCCGAAACUUAAGCCGGAUUUAAUGGUUUGAGAUAGAACAUUAAUGGAAGAUUGGCAGUUGCUUUAAACGUGGAUCCCUAAUUGUUGAUAAACUAGCUGGCAAGUUUAUUGAAGCAGAAACUCGACUUAAACAGGAACCGAAAGCCGGAACGCAAGGGUGUUCUUUUUCCAUACAAGAUGCCUGGGUCGCAUAUGAGAUGGUUUUUACUUUGGUUAGCAGUCCAAAGAGAGUUGUUCUUGGUGGAGUUGUUCUGGGUACCUCCUACCGCCAAAGUGUGUUUCGGCAUGAGAUGUCGUGCAACGUGCCUUUCCUGUGUGUAUGAUGCUGUUCUGUGUUUAGAUUGAAAGUCUGACUAUGAUUCUUACGUAGAUCUCUCACAAGAUCAGAACAAAAGCUCUCAGAAGUCUAGAAUACUGAGAAGUGAUACAUGCCUGCAAUUUCCAUCUCAUCCAUUAGUUCUGUUAGUCUGGUGCAGUCUUUUAAAUGAUUGCCCCAAGUCGGAAGUGAAGAAUUGCCCAUUCGCUGACCGGCUGGCUUUCCUGCUGCAGUUUCUGAACUUUGCGUAGGUUAUGCUCCUGCAAUAAUCUGCGGUGUGCUAUUUUGAUCCUGGAUACGGACAUUUAGUGAGGUUGCUCCAUCGUGAUCUGUGUUCUGAAACAGCUCGUUUAUGGUGCAAUAGUGUGAGAGAAAAAGAUUGAAGGAGAAGAUAAUAUAAACUGGUUGUAUUUUGAUAA